CGCGUUGGGGAAGGAGAGGCCGGCAGUUGGGCGCGAGACGUAGAGCAGAGCAGGCAGAAGAGCAUCGUCCUCCAACAUUUCAGUUUUGUUUCUUUUGUGUUUUACCUUAUCGGAUUUGUGCCGUCAAGGCAUCCGGCGACAUUUGGUGUCAGAAGUGGGAUCGAGUGCUCGCUUCCCGUGGCUGCGACGGCGUGGUGACCCCUUGCUAAAACUGAUCAUUCGGCUUUAUCGGAAACAUCCAGCUUGCUGAGGCAGAUUUCAACAUCCAUCGACAUUCUCCGGAAGAAAAUCUUGUCGCUUAACGUGGCAUUUGGGUGUUUGGGAGCAAAUUUCAUCCCGAUUUGCUGGAUUUUGUGGCGGAUUCUUCCUAUCCUUGGCGCCAAACCAACAUGGUGGAUCGGUGAAUAGACAUUUCUCGUUGCA